rnacentral:rRNA from 1 species
GACGAACGCUGGCGGCGUGCCUAAUACAUGCAAGUAGAACGCUGAAGGAGGAGCUUGCUUCUCUGGAUGAGUUGCGAACGGGUGAGUAACGCGUAGGUAACCUGCCUGGUAGCGGGGGAUAACUAUUGGAAACGAUAGCUAAUACCGCAUAACAGUAGAUAUCGCAUGAUAUCUACUUGAAAGGUGCAAUUGCAUCACUACCAGAUGGACCUGCGUUGUAUUAGCUAGUUGGUGAGGUAACGGCUCACCAAGGCGACGAUACAUAGCCGACCUGAGAGGGUGAUCGGCCACACCGGGACUGAGACACGGCCCAGACUCCUACGGGAGGCAGCAGUAGGGAAUCUUCGGCAAUGGACGGAAGUCUGACCGAGCAACGCCGCGUGAGUGAAGAAGGUUUUCGGAUCGUAAAGCUCUGUUGUAAGAGAAGAACGAGUGUGAGAGUGGAAAGUUCACACUGUGACGGUAUCUUACCAGAAAGGGACGGCUAACUACGUG